GUGUCAGCAGCCGCGGUAAUACGUAGGUGGCAAGCGUUGUCCGGAAUUAUUGGGCGUAGAGGGCUCGCAGGCGGAUCCUUAAGUCUGAUGUGAAAGCCCCCGGCUCAACCGGGGAGGGUCAUUGGAAACUGGGGAACUUGAGUGCAGAAGAGGAGAGUGGAAUUACACGUGUAGCGGUGAAAUGCGUAGUGAUGUGGAGGAACACCAGUGGCGAAGGCGACUCUCUGGUCUGUAACUGACGCUGAGGAGCGAAGGCGUGGGGAGCGAACAGGAUUAGAAACCCUUGUAGUCC
rnacentral:rRNA from 1 species